GACGAACGCUGGCGGCGUGCUUAACACAUGCAAGUCGAACGGAAAGGCCCUGCUUUUGUGGGGUGCUCGAGUGGCGAACGGGUGAGUAACACGUGAGUAACCUGCCCUUGACUUUGGGAUAACUUCAGGAAACUGGGGCUAAUACCGGAUAGGAGCUCCUGCUGCAUGGUGGGGGUUGGAAAGUUUCGGCGGUUGGGGAUGGACUCGCGGCUUAUCAGCUUGUUGGUGGGGUAGUGGCUUACCAAGGCUUGGACGGGUAGCCGGCCUGAGAGGGUGACCGGCCACAUUGGGACUGAGAUACGGCCCAGACUCCUACGGGAGGCAGCAGUGGGGAAUAUUGCACAAUGGGCGGAAGCCUGAUGCAGCAACGCCGCGUGCGGGAUGACGACCUUCGGGUUGUAAACCGCUUUCGCCUGUGACGAAGCGUGAGUGACGGUAAUGGGUAAAGAAGCACCGGCUAACUACGUG
rnacentral:rRNA from 1 species